UACGGGGGGGGCAAGCGUUGUUCGGAAUUACUGGGCGUAAAGGGUUUGUAGGUGGCCAACUAAGUCAGACGUGAAAUCCCUCAGCUUAACUGGGGAACUGCGUCUGAGACUGGAUGGCUCGAGUGCAGGAGAGGAACGCGGAAUUCCAGGUGUAGCGGUGAAAUUCGUAGAUAUUGGGAAGAACACCGGUGGCGAAGGCGGCUCUCUGGACCGAGACUGACGCUGAGGCGCGAAAGCGUGGGGAGCAAACAGG
rnacentral:rRNA from 1 species